rnacentral:rRNA from 1 species
AUUGAACGCUGGCGGAAUGCUUUACACAUGCAAGUCGAACGGUAGAGGGGGCAACCCCUCGAGAGUGGCGAACGGGUGAGUAAUAUAUCGGAACGUGCCCAGUCGUGGGGGAUAACGUAGCGAAAGUUACGCUAAUAACGCAUACGAUCUAAGGAUGAAAGCGGGGGAGCGCAAGAACUCGCGCGAUUGGAGCGGCCGAUAUCAGAUUAGGUAGUUGGUGGGGUAAAGGCUCACCAAGCCAACGAUCUGUAGCUGGUCUGAGAGGACGAGCAGCCACACUAGAACUGAGACACGGUCCAGACUCCUACGGGAGGCAGCAGUGGGGAAUUUUGGACAAUGGACGCAAGUCUGAUCCAGCCAUUCCGCGUGCAGGAUGAAGGCCCUCGGGUUGUAAACUGCUUUUGUACGGAACGAAAAGGUCUCUCUUAAUACGGGGGGCUCAUGACGGUACCGUAAGAAUAAGCACCGGCUAACUACGUGCCAGCCGCCGCCGUAA